UACGUAGGGGGCAGGCGUUGUCCGGAUUUACUGGGCGUAAAGAGCGUGUAGGCGGCCACGCAGGUCCGUUGUGAAAACUGGAGGCUCAACCUCCAGCUGUCGACGGAAACCGUAUGGCUAGAGUCCGGAAGAGGAGAGUGGAAUUCCUGGUGUAGCGGUGAAAUGCGCAGAUAUCAGGAAGAACACCAAUGGCGAAGGCAGCUCUCUGGGACGGUACUGACGCUGAGACGCGAAAGCGUGGGGAGCGAACAGG
rnacentral:rRNA from 1 species